rnacentral:rRNA from 1 species
UACGUAGGGGGCAAGCGUUGUCCGGAUUUAUUGGGCGUAAAGAGCGUGUAGGCGGCCUGACAGGUCUGCUGUGAAAACUCGAGGCUCAACCUCGAGAUGUCGGCGGAAACCGUCUGGCUAGAGUCCGGAAGAGGAGAGUGGAAUUCCUGGUGUAGCGGUGAAAUGCGCAGAUAUCAGGAAGAACACCUAUGGCGAAGGCAGCUCUCUGGGACGGUACUGACGCUGAGACGCGAAGGCGUGGGGAGCAAACAGG